GAGUUAGGUAGGUGGGUAAGUAGGUGUAGAUUUAGAAUGGUGUACAACUGUGUUUGUGCUGGGUGUAAUAACUCUAGCAAAACAGGACACAGGGUCCAUGCCUUUCCGAAGGACAAGGCAACCCUCAGACAGUGGGUACAGUUUGUCCGCGUUAGACGGGCAGAUUUUUCUAUUCCCUCGGUCACAAAGAACUCCAAGGUCUGCAGCGCUCAUUUCACGGAGGAGGAUUACGAGGGGAUGUCAGGAUGGUAUCUCUCGGGUUAAAUAGGCUGGCACAGCUUAUUCCGAACGCCGUGCCUUCUGUGCACACGCAUCUCUCUGCCUGCCCUGCCCCGAGACCGAGAGGCACCAAGAUCAGUGCCGCCAGCCGCAAGCGAGAGCUGGCUAUGAUGUUGACAGAUGCCUCACCGUGUGAGACCACGGACAGUGUCAAUGCUGCUACGGUAGAGGACCCCUUGCCCUAAUACACUUGUGACACUGGGACACAGAGUAUUUUGAAGCCCCUUGGAAGGUCUCACGGUAAAUCUUUAUUUCAUACUCUGGGGAUCUCAUAACAUUCUUUUUACUGUAAAUAUGUUUGCUAUAAUUCAUAUGCAGGACAAUUUCACGUGUUUCCACUGGAGAAAAAAAUCGGUCUAUUUGUAUGUCUGCUGUGUGUGUGCCUACCUAUCUUGGUCUCUUGCAGGCUCAAUGGCAGCAGUAAAACUGGAGGGUAUCAUCACAAGGACAUCCUUACUGAAGGAUGUUCGACAGCUGUCUCCGCAGCACCAGACUUACUCCUCUGAAGCCUUCCACUCCCUGAUCCUGCACUUCGCGCCCAAGCACACUGGGUUUCCAUACCAUGGCAUGUAUAGCAGGUUAUGCAACGUCAUUAAUCGAGGCCCUUCGGGAGAGCUACAUCGAUUCACCCAAGGCUCUUCAAGAGGUUCGCGAAAUCCUUCCAACAAAUUCCCAAGGAGGAGGCCGUCAGCCAUCUAGCCCAGCAGUCACGCUACAAAAAAUUGAAUUAGAAUAUUUUUUUCCCAGACAGGUCCAAUCAUUUAGUUGUGAGUAUGUAUGUAUGUGUAAGUAUGUUAUUUUAUUUGGUGGUGGUUUUCUGU
ensembl:lncRNA